UAAGCGAGAACUCUGGUUCCUUGCUUUCCCCCAAUUUUUUUCUUUGCUCUAGUGAACGUCUGCCAUUGGUCCGGGCCGGCACCGUCUGCGCUACCUACAGCGGCAGUACCUCAGGUUUCCUGGUCUAACCAACCUUCUGCGGUUCAACUCUGCCAUCAAAGUCGGGGAGCUCUGGCUCCACCCAUUGCCCUGAAGUACUCUGGGAACCCAGCUCAGCUAAUUAGAAAACGAACUGCCCUCACCCAGAGUGAUUGGUUUAGGCGCAGGCACGUGACUGGAUCCCAGCCAAUGAGAGACAAGUUUUCAUUGAGCGCAGCCCAGGCGCUUUUGCGCACUGUCCAUCAUCCUGUCUGGUGGGGGCAGAGCCAACCUUGGGCCACCAGGACGCGCUGGAGAUAAGAAGGCCCCAGGAGAUGCCCCGGCCCUGGAGACAUGGUGGUUCCAGCUUGUCAUGAGCAAAACUCCAUACAAGACAGGUGCAGUCAAGGACACGGGACUCCUUAUUCCCAGAGCUACAAGUCUAGAGCUAAGUCUUUCUAGAAAGAGCAGAAUACUGGCAUUUCUCAUCUUCACCAGCUUCAUGCUGCAGAGGUCAAAUUCCAGGGAGCAGACAACUUCCAAAACUAUCCUUGUUUGUGGAGAAGUAUUCUUUACCAUUGAAGAGACAAAGAUGGUGCUGAGCCUGAUGAAGAAAUGGAGUUCAAGAUGUUCAUAGGACCACUGUGCUGGUUAAGUGGUGGAUGUGAUUCUCUUUGGGCAGUACAGGCCACAUGACUUGAUGACACCCAGAAAUAAGUGAAGAAGCAAAUCACAUCCAUGUCAUUGGGUUCCUGUGAAGACGAAAAGUGACGGUAGGUGGUGACAUAUUUUGUACAGCUUGAACCUGAACUGCUAACCACUAUCCUGUAUCCACUGAGCAAAAGAAAAAGAAAACAUAGAGGAGGGAGAGGCAGAUAAGGACUGGGAGAGGGUGAGGAUAGGGUCAUCUCCUGCAGCUCCAGGGAAGCCAGCUAAACCCAGCCCUCAUUCUCCUAGCAGGGGCUUCCCUCCCCCGCCCAGAGCCACACCACCACCGAAAGGCCAGAGACUCUGUUUGCUAGUUACUCACUUGACCCAGAGA